UUCGUGUGAACAGUGGUUGAUCACGAGUUAGUCGGUCCUAAGUUCAAGGCGAAAGCCGAAAAUUUUCAAGUAUAUAUAUAUAUGUCUAUUUUACAAAUAAUAAAACACUUGAAUAAUUUUGAACGAAAGGGAAUACGGUUCCAAUUCCGUAACCUGUUGAGUAUCCGUUUGUUAUUAAAUAUGGGCCUCGUGCUCAUCCUGGCAACAGGAACGACCAUAAAGAAGCCGUCGAGAGAUAUCGGAAGAGUUUUCUUUUCUGUUUUAUAGCCGUACUACCAUGGAAGUCUUUCGCAGAGAGAUAUGGUAGAUGGGCUAGAAGAGCAUGACAUAUACUGUUGUGUCGAUAUUUUCUCCUCGGACCUUGAAAAUUUAUGGUGGGGACACGCAAACUUCUCAACAGGCCGUACCAAUAUCCGCAGCUGGUCUCCAAGGUGAAGAGUCUCUAGUCGAUAGAAUA
rnacentral:rRNA from 1 species